rnacentral:rRNA from 1 species
CAUGCAAGUUCGAACGCGAAAGUCCCGCAAGGGAUUAGUAGAGUGGCAAACGGGUGAGUAACACGUGGGUGACCUGCCUUCGAGUGGGGGAUAACGUCCCGAAAGGGACGCUAAUACCGCAUGACAUCCUGCCUUUGAAGAGGCGGAGAUCAAAGCUGGGGAUCGCAAGACCAAGCGCUCAAAGAGGGGUCCGCGCCUGAUUAGCUAGUUGGCGAGGUAACGGCUCACCAAGGCAUCGAUCAGUAUCCGGCCUGAGAGGGCGGACGGACACACUGGGACUGAGACACGGCCCAGACUCCUACGGGAGGCAGCAGUGGGGAAUUGUUCGCAAUGGGCGCAAGCCUGACGACGCAACGCCGCGUGGAGGAUGAAGACCUUCGGGUCGUAAACUCCUUUCGAUCGAGACGAAUGGCCUUCGGGUUAACAGCCCGGAGGAGUGACGGUACCGAGAGAAGAAGCCCCGGCUAACUCCGUGCCAGCAGCCGCGGUAAUACGGGGGGGGCAAGCGUUGUUCGGAAUUACUGGGCGUAAAGGGCUCGUAGGCGGCCAACUAAGUCAGACGUGAAAUCCCUCGGCUUAACCGGGGAACUGCAUCUGAUACUGGAUGGCUUGAGUUCGGGAGAGGGAUGUGGAAUUCCAGGUGUAGCGGUGAAAUGCGUAGAUAUCUGGAGGAACACCGGUGGCGAAGGCGGCAUCCUGGACCGACACUGACGCUGAGGAGCGAAAGCCAGGGGAGCAAACGGGAUUAGAUACCCCGGUAGUCCUGGCCCUAAACGAUGAAUGCUUGGUGUGGCGGGUAUCGAUCCCUGCCGUGCCGAAGCUAACGCAUUAAGCAUUCCG